GCAGUGCAGCUGAAAAGAAUAGACCAUAUCAUUUUGGUGGAACUUCCUGCGUUCUAUUGGAUUUACCCACUGGAUAUUAAAAUACUGUCCGAAUGAUUAGUCCCAAAAUUGUUAUUUUACUAACCAUGGAUAACAGCAGCGUUACGAUAAUUGAAAUAAACAAUCGAAGGACAUGUACAUAAGUAAACAACAUGAUUAUUAGCGCUACGACCAUCGAGAUAAUCACAACCCAGUGGGAAUCGUCGAGCUCCUCAAAAUAGCCAUCAACCGCAGACUUCACCUCUUCAUUGUUGGCAAAUCUUUU
rnacentral:lncRNA from 1 species